UUGACCCGUUAUCGCCAAGGCCAUGCAACCAAACUAUAGUUGCUUGGUGCUUUGCUUUCGGCCUCACGACAUAUGUCCUCCCAAAUUCAACGGUUCGCCUAGCCGUUCUACUACCUGGGCACUUGAAUAACUCAUCUUAGACAUGUGAAACAAUAAACAACUACAACGGUUACUGCAACGGUUGGGGUGUGUUUGUAAUGU
rnacentral:lncRNA from 1 species